rnacentral:misc_RNA from 1 species
GAUGAAGAACGUAGCGAAAUGCGAUAAGUAAUGUGAAUUGCAGAAUUCAGUGAAUCAUCGAAUCUUUGAACGCACAUUGCGCCCCCUGGUAUUCCGGGGGGCAUGCCUGUUCGAGCGUCGUUUCACCACUCAAGCCUCGCUUGGUAUUGGGCAACGCGGUCCGCCGCGUGCCUCAAAUCGACCGGCUGGGUCUUCUGUCCCCUAAGCGUUGUGGAAACUAUUCGCUAAAGGGUGUUCGGGAGGCUACGCCGUAAAACAACCCCAUUUCUAAGGUUGACCUCGGAUCAGGUAGGGAUACCCGCUGAACUUAAGCAUAUCAAUAAGCGGAGGA